UCUCCACCCUGAUGAACACCUGGAGGCGGAGCUCUCCACCCUGAUGAACACCCGGAGGCGGAGCUCUCCACCCUGAUGAACACCCGGAGGCGGAGCUCUCCACCCUGAUGAACACCCGGAGGCGGAGCUCUUCUCCCCUGUUGUUCAGGACCACACUGCCUCAUCCGGGAGGACCUCCACCCUGAGGGGAUCUUCUUCAGCCGGGACACCACCUUCCCGUGCUUCACCAGCUCCUUCAAGAUCACCUCCUCUUUGAUAAAAGGAGGCACGUUGGCCACGGUGACCCGAACCGACGGUGUGGCCAGCGGCGCCACCGGCACAUGAUGCCUCUGAUGACCCGACACCACCACCUCGUUCACCUUCGGCACGCAAGAACAGAACCACCGCUCCGUUCAGACGGGCAGCGGACCUCACGACCACGUCGCCCACUGCCAGCCCCACCUCCUCCUCCUCCUCCGAGCACGGGAAACUCGGCGCCACUCGAAUCCCGUGUGCCCGCGUGAGGAAGCUCAUGUCCUCCAUGAUGCUAGCUCCGUUAGCCCGCCGGUUAGCUCCCCGCUAGCCGCACGCCGCUAACGCUCACACAGACACACAAACAAAACCCUCCGUGAACUCACACACUCACACAGACAGUCGGGUGAACCCACACACACUCACAACAAACAUACCUGGAGACCCAGUCACUCUUUAGCGUGGAAAAAAAAACACCUUUAAACCAACAAUGCUCCUCUGCUCCGCAAUCACGUCCUCUCACGCAGAGAGAGAGAGAGUUCUCUGGUAACAACAGCACCUGUAUUGUUGAUGUGAUUCUUGUUGUGCGGAGGAGAAACUCACCUGUUUUACACCUGUGUUUGUUAGUGUGUGUGAGACAGCCUCCAGAACCUUCCUACUGGGUCCUCACUUCCGGUCCUGGACCGACGCCCGGUCUCGCUCGCCAUCGCCAACCGACCUGGAUGUGUCCGUGUGUGUCGAGUUUGUUUGCUGUGAUCCAUCGUCUCGCGUAGCGUCCUGAGGAUCUUUGAUUGGAGGAGAACAGACAUUACCUGUGAUCUCAGAGCUGAGUGGAUCCAUCCUGGUCAGACCGUGUUUCUAGUGACUCAGCAGAUCAGCUCCUUGUUUACGUCUUCUUCCUUUGAAGUGAUAAAACAAUACAAACAUAAAACAACAAAUAUAAACAUUAAACAAAAAUAUGACGAUAUUUUGUGUUAUUUGAGACUAAAAUACAGAGUUUAGAAUACGA